GCCGAGGCGAUGGCGGCGGCCGCGUACGAGCUGCUGGUGCUGGGCGGCGGGUCGGGCGGGCUGGCGGGGGCGCGCCGUGCCGCCGAGCUGGGUGCCCGCGUCGCCCUCGUGGAGCCGUGCCGCCUCGGCGGCACCUGCGUCAAUGUUGGUUGUGUCCCCAAAAAGGUGAUGUGGAACACAGCGGUUCACGCGGAGUUCAUGCACGAUCACGCCGAUUACGGGUUUGAGGUGGCUGGCAGCAAAUUUAACUGGAGAACUAUUAAAGAAAAACGUGAUGCUUACGUGAGACGCCUGAAUGAGAUCUACGAGAAUAACGUAAAAAAGAGUAAUAUUGAAAUCAUUCGUGGCUAUGGAAAGUUUACGUCUGAUCCAGAGCCUACAGUUGAAGUCGAUGGUAAAAAGUACACAGCUCCUCACAUCCUUAUAGCUACUGGCGGACGACCAUCAGUCCCUCUCGAAAGUGAGAUUCCUGGUGCCAAUCUGGGUAUCACCAGUGAUGGAUUCUUUGAUCUUCAAGAGCUGCCCAGGCGCAGCGUUAUUGUUGGUGCUGGGUACAUUGCAGUAGAAAUGGCAGGGAUCCUUUCCACUUUGGGCUCCAAGUCCUCCUUGCUGAUACGUCAUGACAAGGUGCUGAGGACGUUUGACUCGUUGAUAAGUUCAAACUGCACAGAGGAGCUGGAGAACACCGGGGUCGACGUGUGGAAGCACGCACUGGUCAAGACAGUUGCAAGGUCCCCUGGUGGACUGCUGGAUGUGACAGUGACAUCCUCUGUGCCUGGUCAUAAGCCAACGGUUGGAGUGAUCGAGGAUGUGGACUGCCUUCUAUGGGCCCUGGGGAGAGUCCCAAACACAGAAGGGCUUUUCCUGGACCAAGUGGGUGUUGAACUGGAUGCAAAAGGUCACAUUCUGGUCGAUGAGUUCCAGAACACCACGAGGAAAGGGAUUUAUGCCAUCGGGGAUGUCUGUGGAAAAGCUCUCCUCACCCCAGUUGCGAUAGCAGCUGGCAGAAAGCUUGCGCACAGACUCUUCGAAGGCAAGCAGGACUCCAAGCUGGACUACACUAACAUUCCCACCGUGGUCUUCAGUCACCCACCCAUUGGGACCGUGGGCCUCACCGAAGAUGAAGCUGUUUCUGUGCAUGGGGGAGAGAAUGUGAAGAUCUAUAGGACUUCAUUUACCCCCAUGUAUCAUGCAGUCACCAAAAGGAAGACCAAGUGUGUGAUGAAACUGGUUUGUGCUGGCAAGGAGGAGAAGGUUUUUUCCACUCGUGUAGGUUCCUAGUCUGGACCUGUGUGUGGUGAGAACAGUGGCAUGACACCUGCAUUCAGCAUGGCCAUCCUACAGGAGAGGCUUUGGAGCCAUGUCCCGAUGAGUGGAGGCAGUGACCUGGAACUGUGCAGUGGUGGCCGCAGGGCUGUUUGAGUUGAAGCCAAGGGUGUGACAGCCGCUGUGGGAACGGCUGCUAGUGACGUCCUGGUGGUGCUGGCCCACUCCCACCUGUACGAUGCUGCAGGGCCACCUGAAGGCUGUGGAGGAGACCUUGGAGGAGUUUGUCCUCAUCACCAUCCCACUCCUGAGGGAUGGAGCCUGCGAUCCCUGGCAGCUCUGCCUGACCUGUGGCUGCUCUCUGCAGCCCUGCAGUGCAUGCCAACUGCCCUGAACUGCUCUUGCUGAGCCCGGGCAAGCCUGGCCUGGGUGGAAAGCAGCCUGCGGUGCAAAGUCUCCUGCCGGUCAGAGACUCUGGCAUGCUCCCAUUUCCCUUCCUGUAGAGCAGCAGUGCAGCGGGACAAGCGCAUACUUGGGUGAGCAGGAGCGACGUGCCUUCCCUCACCUGGGUCAGCCCAGCUAUCCAGAAACAGGAAGCUGGGAAACAGGCAAGUAAACAUGAAACAGAAAGGAAGGACAAGUCGCAGCACUGUGUCACAAGACCUACUGGUGUACCGUGGAGGGAGGUGGACAGCAAACCCAGCACAGAGCUGCUCAACGGUGGCCGUAGCCUGAGAGUCGUUGCGGUGGCAGCGCUCUCUCGGAAGGUACUAACGCCAGGCCAGCGCGAGUCAUGGAGGGGUUUGGUAAGGAAGGUAAAAUGAGACUGGGACGACAUUCAAGCAUUGUUAAAACAGAUUUCAGCCAGGGGACAGAGAAUGAUGGAUACUGGAAAAAGACAGGGAAUUGGCAGACAGAGAUGUAUGCUGACAACCUUGGCCAUGAGUAGAUCCAAAUUGGGACUAUAAUAAUGCAAAUGAUAGAGCAGCAUGUGAAAUGGCAUGCCAAAAUCUAGUUUUAGCAACAAGAGCUACAGGGCAAAUGGGCGUUAACUGGGAAAGGGUUCAGGAAGUAAGGCAGAAGUCUGACAAACACCUGAGCGAUUUUUGGAAUUGCUUGCGGCAAGCCUUGUUACGCUAUGGAGGGAUGAAAAUUUUCAUGAAAGGCCGGCAAUGAGUGUAUUUGUCCAGCAAGCGGCACCAGAUACCCAUGAGGAUUUCAGAAAACACACUCCAGGGUGGCAGGGAGAGAAUUUACAGAAAAUACUAUUGUUAGUGAUUUUAUAUACAAUGGAAGGUAGGAAAAAGGAAGGAAAGAGAAGGAAAUACAAAAGCAGGAGGAAGUGAGUGUGUUGGCAGCAGCACUGGGAGAAUUCCAAACAUGCAAGGAAGGGGAAUAUAAACACGAGAGGAUGAGGCUAAAAGGGAAGAGGGACCAGACGAGCAGGAAUGGGUAGGGGACAGUUGAACCCAAAUUACUGUGCAUGUUCUAGGAAAUAUUGAAAGGAGAUUUACAAACAAUUACGCUGUCAAAAAAUACUAAAUGGAUACAGUAUGCAGGUGCCUUGUAGACUGCGAGUACUGAUUGUGGUAUUUUUUUUGCAUGACACUAGAACAUUGUUGUGUGCCCUAAUGGAAAAGGGACACAAAGUCUUUCUUGCCAAAAUGCAGUUGUGCCAGCAACAAGUUAAUUGUUUGGGGAGGAUAAUUCAGUCCUCUCUCAAGAGAGAGAUUGAUCUCAUGGGAGCAAAUGCGAGCAAUCCAAGAAGUACCAGUCCCUCAGAUAUAAAGGCAGGUUAGGGCCUUUUCAGAUGCAACAAGAUUUAAUGGGUAUUGGAUAUCUGGAUUUAGUGAAAAAGCAACAGAGUUAACACAGCUAACUAAAGAUAGUGAACCAGAUUUAGUGGUGUGGACUCUGGAGGCGGAAUAAGCCUUUAAAGAGUUAAAGCAGGCAGUUAUGGAAGCAUUACCGGACUAUGGAAAGUCCUUUGUGGUAUGUUAGUGUGAAUGAAAGGGAAUUGCAAGUGGUGUGUUCUAGUUCAGAAAACUGCCCAGGGCUGGCAUGCAAUAGCUUAUUAUACAGCAGAGCUGGAUCCAGUAGUUCAAGGAACUGAACGUGCUCUAGGGUUGUAGCAGCAAUGGCUGUAAUGAUUGAGGACGUGAGGAAUAUCGUUUUAGGGCACCCUUUAACUGUAAUAGUGCCUCAUGCAGUGAAAAUUCUCCUGACCCAGCAGGGUCGCUCGUUAUUUACCCACUAACGUUUGCACUGGUAUGAGCUAGUUUUGCUCACUGAACCAAAAGCGGUUUUUGAAGAGUGUGAUAUGCUAAACCCAGCUCCUUUGCUACCAGAAAUACUGCAGUCCAAAGAAAAAUUAAUUCACAGUUAUUUGGAAAUGACAGAUUUGAGGCCAAGUAUUCUACAUCUUGUGAAAAGAGCCCCUGCGCAAUCUGGAUUUAAUAUUGUUCUGUGAUGGAUCAUCAUACUAUGAAAAGGUUGCAGGGUAUGCAGUAGCUACGCGAUAUAUAGUGCUGGAAGCUGGGUCCCUUUGAGGACAAUUUGGGGCUCAAGAGGCAGAACUGAUAGCCUUAACCUGACCAUGUAUUAUUGCCAUGAGUAAGACUGCUAAUAUCUAUACAGAUUCAAAAUAUACUUUGGGAGUGAUAUUUGCAACGUGAAUAACUUGGAAAGAAAGAGGCUUUCAGACAGCAGUAGGACAUCGAAUAGCCCACCAAGAUCAGGUUUUAGAGUUAUUAAAGGCUUUGGAAAAGCCUUUUGGAAAAACCUUUGCAGAGUUAGCAAUCCUGUAUGAGAAGGCUCACUGAUGAGAUGCUUCAGAUACAACUAAGGGAGAUAACCUCGCUGAUGCCGCAGUGAAAGCAGCUGCGCUACAACCUCUGCCCACCAACCUGGAGCUGCAAGAAGAAAGGGUAGGGAGUGAGGCUCAUGAAGAACAGAGAAAAGAACAGCAAGCCAGACCUAAAUGUUUCCAUUCUUCCACCUCUUUAGGAGCAGAACAAAAAAAAUGGAAGAUGGGUUUUGUAGGGAAAACUGUUGCUCCCUAAGGUCAUGUUGAUGCUGCUAGUAAGAGAACUCCACGGAUGGAUGUACUGGGGAAUGCCUUAUUUAGAGAACCAAAUUUCCCAGUCACGGGCAGCGCCAGGUUUGACUCAAGCAAUUUUACAAGUAAUGAGAGGGUGUUUAGUAUGCACAGAAAAAUGCUAAGUCACAGAUAGAAGCUAAAAUAAAAGGAGGGCACCCUUGGGCUUGAAUGCCAUUUCAGAAAUUACAAAUAGAUUUCACAGACAUGCCCCCAAAAUACCCUGGAAUUAUAGCCAUGUUGCUACUGGAGCGAGUGUAAUGAAGUGCUACUAAGAUGAUUAAGGGACCGGAGCAGCUCCCAUAUGAGGAAAGGCUGAGAGAACUGAGACUGCUCGGCCUGGAAUAGGGAAGACUGAGGGGGGACUCUUAUCCAAGGAAUUAAAAUAGCUGAAGGGAGGCUGUGAAAAGGAUGGGGCAAGACUGUUCUCAGUGGUGCCCAGUGGCAGAAUGAGAGGCAAUGGGCACAAAGGGAAACACAGGAAGUUCCACCUGAACAUCAGGAAAAACUUCUUUACUGAGAAGGUAACAGAGCUCUGGAAAGGUUGCCCAGAGAAGUUGUGGAGUCUCUCUCUCUGGAGAGCCAUCCAGAUGAGAUCCUGGGCUCUUGGUGACCCUGCUUUUAAGCAGGGAAAGUGGACUUUGAAGAUUUCCAGAGUUGUCUUCCAGCCUCAACUGUUUUUGGAUUCUGAAAUUCCCUAAUGGUGCCAACGGGUGCUUUGUCUUCUGGUGGUGCUUACUUGCCUUCUGGGGCUAGAGGCAAGGGCAUUG